UACGAGGGGGGCAAGCGUUGUUCGGAAUUAUUGGGCGUAAAGGGCGCGUAGGCGGUUUGACAAGUCUGAUGUGAAAUCUAUGGGCUCAACCCAUAGCCUGCAUUAGAAACUGUCGGGCUUGAGUAUGGGAGAGGUGAGUGGAAUUUCCGGUGUAGCGGUGAAAUGCGUAGAUAUCGGAAGGAACACCUGUGGCGAAAGCGGCUCGCUGGACCAUAACUGACGCUGAGGCGCGAAAGCUAGGGGAGCAAACAGG
rnacentral:rRNA from 1 species